UACGUAGGGUGCAAGCGUUAAUCGGAAUUACUGGGCGUAAAGCGUGCGCAGGCGGCUAUGCAAGACAGAUGUGAAAUCCCCGGGCUCAACCUGGGAACUGCAUUUGUGACUGCAUGGCUAGAGUACGGUAGAGGGGGAUGGAAUUCCGCGUGUAGCAGUGAAAUGCGUAGAUAUGCGGAGGAACACCGAUGGCGAAGGCAAUCCCCUGGACCUGUACUGACGCUCAUGCACGAAAGCGUGGGGGGCAAACAGG
rnacentral:rRNA from 1 species